GACGAACGCUGGCGGCGUGCCUAACACAUGCAAGUCGAACGCGAGUGUCUUUUUUCGCAAGAAAGCAGACACUUGAGUGGCGAACGGGUGAGUAACACGUGAGCAACUCACCUUCCGGUGGGGGAGUAACUGUCCGAAAGGGCGGCUAAUACCCCGUAUGCUCCCUGACCGCCGGGUCAGUGAGGAAAGUGGGCUUCGUAAGAAGCUCAUGCCAGAAGAGAGGCUCGCGCCCCAUCAGCUAGUUGGCGAGGUAACGGCUCACCAAGGCAAUGACGGGUAGCUGGUCUGAGAGGAUGGUCAGCCACACUGGGACUGAGACACGGCCCAGACUCCUACGGGAGGCAGCAGUGAGGAAUUUUGGGCAAUGGGCGAAAGCCUGACCCAGCGACGCCGCGUGGAGGAUGAAGGCCUUCGGUCGGUAAACUCCUGUUCUGGGGAAGGAAACGGAAGUGCGUGAAUAAUUCAUCCGCUGACGGUACCCACGGAGAAAGCUCCGGCUAAUUACGUG
rnacentral:rRNA from 1 species